rnacentral:misc_RNA from 1 species
ACACAUCAACUCUCACGGUUCGCCGCGAUGAGCUUGGACUUUGGGGGUCUUGCUGGCCUGUGGUCAGCUCCUCUCAAAUGGAUUAGCUUGCCAGUGUUUGGUGGCAUCACAGGUGUGAUAACUAUCUACGCUCGUGGUCGUCCGCUGGGUAACCUUCAGUGAUGGAGGUUCGCUGGAGCUCAUAGACGUCUCUCCUCGGCGAGGACAGCUUUUUGAAC